rnacentral:rRNA from 1 species
ACGGAGGGGGCUAGCGUUGUUCGGAAUUACUGGGCGUAAAGAGUACGUAGGCGGUUAUUCAAGUCAGAGGUGAAAUCCCGGAGCUUAACUCCGGAACUGCCUUUGAAACUAGAUAGCUAGAAUCAUGGAGAGGUUAGUGGAAUUCCGAGUGUAGAGGUGAAAUUCGUAGAUAUUCGGAAGAACACCAGUGGCGAAGGCGACUAACUGGACAUGUAUUGACGCUGAGGUACGAAAGCGUGGGGAGCAAACAGG